rnacentral:rRNA from 1 species
AGUGAACGCUGGCGGUAGGCCUAAUACAUGCAAGUCGAACGGCAGCACAGUAAGAGCUUGCUCUUACGGGUGGCGAGUGGCGGACGGGUGAGGAAUACAUCGGAAUCUACUUUUUCGUGGGGGAUAACGUAGGGAAACUUACGCUAAUACCGCAUACGACCUACGGGUGAAAGCAGGGGAUCUUCGGACCUUGCGCGAUUGAAUGAGCCGAUGUCGGAUUAGCUAGUUGGCGGGGUAAAGGCCCACCAAGGCGACGAUCCGUAGCUGGUCUGAGAGGAUGAUCAGCCACACUGGAACUGAGAGACGGUCCAGACUCCUACGGGAGGCAGCAGUGGGGAAUAUUGGACAAUGGGCGCAAGCCUGAUCCAGCCAUACCGCGUGGGUGAAGAAGGCCUUCGGGUUGUAAAGCCCUUUUGUUGGGAAAGAAAAGCAGCAGGUUAAUACCCCGCUGUUCUGACGGUACCCAAAGAAUAAGCACCGGCUAACUUCGUG